AUGUCUCUGCCCACGUUAAUCUUCGCGCUCCUCGUCGUGAGCAGCGCCGUCGCCGCUCCCCGUGCGCACGCGGCACGGGAGCUCGCCGGCAACGACGCCAUCGCCGUCGACGCUGCCAUGGUGUCGAGGCACGAGAAGUGGAUGGCGGAGCACGGGCGCACGUACGCGGACGAGGAGGAGAAGGCGCGGCGCCUGGAGGUAUUCCGCGCCAACGCCAAGUUCAUCGACUCGUUUAACGCCGCGGAGGAGAGCAGCCACCGGCUGGCCACCAACAGGUUCGCCGACCUCACCGACGAGGAGUUCCGCGCCGCGAGGACCGGCCUCCGACCGGUGGCUGGCGCGGGGAGCGGCGCCGGCGGGUUCAGGUACGAGAACUUCAGCCUGGCCGACGCGGCUGGGAGCAUGGACUGGAGGGCCAUGGGCGCCGUCACCGGCGUCAAGGACCAAGGCUCUUGCGGCUGUUGCUGGGCGUUCUCGGCGGUGGCGGCGGUGGAAGGGCUGACCAAGAUCCGCACGGGGCGGUUGGUGUCGCUGUCGGAGCAGCAGCUGGUGGACUGCGACGUGAACGGCGACGACGAGGGCUGCGCCGGCGGCCUCAUGGACAACGCCUUCGAGUACAUGGUCCGCCGCGGCGGCCUCACCACGGAGUCGUCCUACCCGUACCGCGGCACGGACGGGUCGUGCCGCCGCUCGGCCUCGGCCGCGUCCAUCCGGGGGUACGAGGACGUGCCGGCCAACAACGAGGCCGCGCUGAUGGCGGCCGUGGCGCACCAGCCCGUGUCCGUGGCCAUCAACGGCGGCGACAGCGUGUUCCGGUUCUACGACAGCGGCGUGCUGGGCGGGUCCGGCUGCGGCACGGAGCUCAACCACGCCAUCACGGCGGUCGGGUACGGCACGGCGAGCGACGGCAGCAAAUACUGGAUCAUGAAGAACUCGUGGGGCGCGUCGUGGGGCGAGCGCGGCUACGUCAGGAUCCGCCGCGGCGUGCGCGGCGAGGGCGUCUGCGGCCUCGCCCAGCUCGCGUCCUACCCUGUCUAG
rnacentral:rRNA from 1 species